CGAAAGGCUGAGGGGAUCCUACGCUGCCAGCAUAGUCACUUGUCAGAGACAAUGGCUGUCAGCACAGCGCCGUGUGUGAGGGUUGGGAGAGCCGCCAGGGAAAGCAAUCCUUUUUGUAAUGUGUGCAGUACUGUGCUAGGACAUCAGCUGAAGGUCACUGUGGCUGACCCUCUGAAAAGGGCCUUUCAUCAACAACACACCCACACAGACAACUCAGCAAAUUGGAGAAUGAAGUUCUAGGGAGAGGCAAGGUGGUGUAAUGGGAAAAGACUUGAAAUAGGAGGGAGCAAACCCUUAUUUUAAUUCCAAUGUUGUGACUCCGAUGCCUCCUUUAACUUCCAUUCUCCUUAUUCACUUACUGGCCCUGGCACCCAGCCACCCAGCCCGCAAGUUUGCUUCUACUCAAGGCCUUGGACCAGACGAUGUGGGAUUCAGGAUGCUCAUGCAUACAUAUUAGGGCUGAAAAUAGUUCAUACACCUCGAAGUGGUAAUGAGGGUGGAAACAGUUUCUACGUAGAAGAGAUGGAAACACUUCAUUUGUUUCUUGCUCGCUUCAUGAAUGUUUCCCUGAGAAUCAUAUGAGAUAAACAUGAAUUCAAAGUAGAAUAUGAAUAUGUGAAAAAUGGAUAUCCUGAUCAAAGGAAACAUGCUCUUGUUGAAUAUUAGUUAGGGAAGGAGGGCUCUGUGUGUGUGUGUGUGUGUGUGUGUGUGUCUGUGUCUGUGUCUGUGUGUAUGUCUGUGUGUUUGUGUGUGUCUCUGUGUGUCUGUGUGUCUAUGUGUGUGUGUAUCUGUGUGUGUCUGUGUGUGUGUGUGGGUGUAUGUGGGUGUAUGUGGGUGUGUGUGUCUGUGUGUGUCUCUGUGUAUAUGUCUGUGUGUGUGUGUGGGUGUGUGUGUCUGUGUGUGUCUCUGUGUGUCUGUGUGUUUGUGUGUGUCUCUGUGUGUGUGUCUAUGUGUGUGUGUGUGUAUCUGUGUGUAUAUCUGUGUGUGUGUAUGUUGGUGUGUGUAUCUGUGUGUGUCUCUGUGUAUAUGUCUGUGUGUUUGUGUGUCUCUGUGUGUCUGUGUGUCUAUGUGUGUGUCUCUGUGUGUGUCUCUGUGUUUGUGUGUGUGUCUGUGUGUCUCUGUGUGUGUCUGUGUGUAUAUCUAUUCUGUGUGUGUGUUUCUGUGUGUGUGUAUGUGGGUGUGUGUGUCUGUGUGUGUCUGUGUGUGUAUAUGUGUGUUAGAGAGGGGAUGGACAGACAGACAAAGAGACAGACAGAAUCUAGGAACUAAAGAAAUCAUGGGUCAUUUUUUUCCUUGUCUGUUUUAGCAAAAUCAAAUGUCCGGAAGCUAAAAAUAGAAGAUAAAAUAACCGUCUUUGGAGGCUUUGAGAGAACUGAAAGAUGACAACUACACUUCUUGUUGCAAGCCGCGCUCCUGAUUUCCCGCUGUCUUGGGCGUUUGAGGUUGAGGGGGGGAAGAGAGCUACAAGUCUCUGGUGUGCAGAAGCGAGAAGUUUGAACUCAGGAUUUGUUUGUUUUCUCCGAUAGAAGAGCCUGGAGAGAGACAAUCCAACAUGGACCACUCCUACGAUGUCCUCCGGGGCCCGGGUCACACCCCGCCCAUUAUGUCAGCACAUCUUGACACUGUGGUGAGCUGAAAGCUGGAGCUCUGUUAGAGACGGGAGGGGAAUGGGUGUGAGGUCAGCCAUGAGUCCCUUCCAUCCAAAACAUCCAUGGAAAUAAAGCCGAGAACUAAUGGGCAGAACAUCCUCAGGAAAAGUUACUGUUUCUCUUUUGAAUGUUUUAGUAACAUCCUCAGGAAAAGUUACUGUUUCUCUUUUGAAUGUUUUAGUAAUGGCCUCAAGAAAAGUUACUGUUUCUCUUUUGCAUGUUUUAGUAGUUCCUUUGAUGUUUAAGAAUCCUGUGAAGCCAGGUGUGGUGGUGCAUGUGUCAAUCCCAGCAUUUGGGAGAGAGAAGCAGGAGGAUGUCGAGCUGGGGACCGAACCCAGGGCCUCGCGCUUGCUAGGCAAGCGCUCUACCACUUAGCUAAAUCCCCAACCCCUCACAAUUUGUCUCUUACAUGGCGAUGUGCACCAAGUGAACUCUCCUUGGUACUUUAAGUAGAUCUUAUCCAUGGAUAGUUAUCAGCCUUUCUAUACAUUUGGGAUUCUGUAUCUUCAGAUCCUAAGUCACUCUGAGCAGCUGUCCCCAUGGGACACAGCUGAGCAGUGGAGUUGUGAAGGGAAUGUUUGAGACACAUGUCCUCUGCAUUGCACAACCCCAAGGUGGCAGUCAGAUAAGAAAAAUAAUCUCUGAAAUUUUCAUUCCUUUAAAACAAAAAUCCAAAAACUACAUCAGGAUGCUAUAGCUAGCUCAGUGAUUGAGCACUUACCUAACACGUGAAAGGUUCUGUAUAUGGCCUCCAAGUACUACUACUACUACUACUACUACUACUAGUAGUAGUAGUAGUAGUAGUAGUAGAAGAAGAAGAAGAAGAAGAAGAAGAAGAAGAAGAAGAAGAAGAAGAAGAAGAAGAAAGAAGGAGGAAGAGGAGGAGGAGGAGGAGGAAGAAGAAGAAGAAGAAGAAGAAGAAGAAGAAGAAGAAGAAGAAGAAGAAGAAGAAGAAGAAGAAGAAGAAAGAAGGAGGAGGAAGAGGAGGAGGAGGAAGAAGAAGGAGGAGGAGGAGGAGGAGGAGGAAGAGGAGGAGGAGGAGGAGGAGAAGCAGAAGCAGAAGCAGCAGCAUCUAUGGGGCCUUUUCUUGAUUAAAGAUUGGUGUGGGAUGCUCCCGGACUGUAUGGGCAGUGCCUCCCUGGCAGGUGGUCUUGACUUGCAUAAGAAAUCAUGCUGAGGAGCCAAGUAGAGAAAGCCCAGUAAGCAGGGUUCCUCCAUGGUCUCCGCUUCAAUUCAUGCCUCCAGAUUUCUUCCCCUACUCUCAAAGUUGGACUGUGCCCUGGAAGAGUAAGCUAAAUAAACUCUCCUCCCCACGCUGGUCUUUGGGGGCCAUGAUACUUAUCACAGCAAUCAAAAGCAAACUAAGACAUCACUUCAUAGUGAGAAUUUUGGUUUCCUUAGAAAACACAGAAAGGAGUGUGCUUUCGUUUCAGUCCCUGGUGUGGGACAUCAGGCCGCUUCAGCUUGUAGGAAGCAGCUGACUGUGAUUUUCUUCGAGCUCUUGCAAGGGUGUGAUUUUGACACUUUCGAUAGCUUUUGCCAUUGUGUGGCAUUUGGAAUUCUGGAGGCCCUUUCAGAGGAUAAAUAAAAAAAGGGCCCUGAGAGGGGGGGUAGCUGUUGGUUGUUGUUGGUCACGGUUUGUUAAGUAGUCCUGUGCAAGAGAAAAAAGAAAGAGAAAAGAAACAGCAAGAAGAAAUUAGAUAUCCUGACAGCAAAGAUCAAACUGGCCCCAAGGAACUCAACCCCCCAUUAACAGGAGCCGUCCCACCUAUUAAUGACAACACUCCCACUUUCCUUUCUAUCCCCUUUUCUCUCCCAUCUAGUGUUAGGGGGGUCGAAAGGGGUGGAAGAAAGAAGAACCCACAAAGUAGUUAAGCCUUGCUACAUCACUUAACUACAUCGAGUUGUUAACUAACAAUAGUUACAUUUGAUUAUUGGUAAGGUAGCCUUCCCCCCAAAUAUGGCUAGACUCUUAAAUAAGAGCUUAUCGAUCACCCCCUCAUCUGGUCGAAGGAUUCAUUCCACCUCUAACUUUCCGAGAAGAUGAGUAAAAUUGCUCCUUGAGGGGUUAUCUGAACCGACCCACUUUGCUAGGGGGUCAUUGUUUACUUCUCUGUUCCGGCUCACUUCACUCCGUGCUCUUCUAUUCCAGGCUUUGUUAACCUAGACCACUUUCUGGGCUCUUGGGUUGCUCUCCAAUUCUGAGCAUUUAGCUGCUGUCUGUCCCUGCAAAGGUUGGCAAGGGACAGUGACAGGAAUUCUGGCAAGUAGAGCAGAUAUAAAUAGAAAUGAGAUGGAAGUUUGUUCAGGACAAUGCCAUAGAUCCACCCGGCUUCUUAGGCAAGAUGGAGUGGGGGGGCUUAGAUCCUGAGCUCUGGAGGAAGACUGCCAAUAUUUGUUCCUUACACUUGGUCAGUCUUGGUCUUUUAACCUUGGGGUUGAAUUAUAUUUUCCAUAAAGUACUGGGGACAAAGACUCAGUGUUACCUGGAAUCAUUAACCAGCACUGUGUUGAGACAUCUAUAAUGGUAGUCUCUCACAUUUGAAUGGCUUCUCUUUGAGGCAAUGUUUGAGCCGGUGCGAAAUGCAAUAGUCUAUUCCUGGGAUGACUGCAAUAGGACUAAGGCCCUUUCGUGGUAUUUCAACAGAAAUAAAUGGAGACCUGGCUACCCACUA